GCCUUCGUGGUGUAAUGGUAGCACACUCGGCGUAUUCGAGAGGCCCAGGUUCGAGUCCCGGCGAGGGCA
rnacentral:tRNA from 1 species